GAUGAACGCUAGCUACAGGCUUAACACAUGCAAGUCGAGGGGCAGCAUGAACUUAGCUUGCUAAGUUUGAUGGCGACCGGCGCACGGGUGAGUAACACGUAUCCAACCUGCCGAUUAUUCCGGGAUAGCCUUUCGAAAGAAAGAUUAAUACUGGAUAGCAUAACGAGAAGGCAUCUUCUUGUUAUUAAAGAAUUUCGAUAAUCGAUGGGGAUGCGUUCCAUUAGUUUGUUGGCGGGGUAACGGCCCACCAAGACAUCGAUGGAUAGGGGUUCUGAGAGGAAGGUCCCCCACAUUGGAACUGAGACACGGUCCAA
rnacentral:rRNA from 1 species